GAAUCGAUGAAGCCACCCAAAUAUGCAUUCCUUGGGGAACCUGAACAAAAUGAGUCUAAAAUCCCCACCAUCUUCUCCCCUUGCAUGCAGUUC